rnacentral:tRNA from 1 species
GCCCUGGUAGCCCAAUCGGCAGAGGCGGCAGAUUCAAGUCCUGCUCAGUGUGGGUUCGAAUCCCACCCAGGGUA